UGAGUAACCUGCCCAUGACUCUGGGGUAAGCCUGGGAAACUGGGUCUAAUACCGGAUAUGACUCCUCAUCGCAUGGUGGGGGGUGGAAAGCUUUUUGUGGUUUUGGAUGGACUCGCGGCCUAUCAGCUUGUUGGUGAGGUAAUGGUUCACCAAGGCGACGACGGGUAGCCGGCCUGAGAGGGUGACCGGCCACACUGGGACUGAGACACGGCCCAGACUCCUACGGGAGGCAG
rnacentral:rRNA from 1 species